AAUUUAUCCUCUGAGCCACUUUCUCCAGGAAGAGCUCCUGGAGUUAUGUAUCCUCCCUUCACAGUAAUUCCUCCUUUCCUCACAUCCCUCAUCAUUGCCUACUCUGUCACUAUCAGCCCACUCUGGGUAUGCUGAGUAGAAGAUGACCGAUUGCUUUCAGUUUGCUUCAUUUUUGUUUUUGUGUCUUACAAGUUAACGUAGAAGUCAGGGCCUGACUGCUGUU
rnacentral:lncRNA from 1 species